GACGAACGCUGGCGGCGUGCUUAACACAUGCAAGUCGAACGGAAAGGCCCUGCUUGCAGGGUACUCGAGUGGCGAACGGGUGAGUAACACGUGGGUGAUCUGCCCUGCACUUCGGGAUAAGCCUGGGAAACGGGGUCUAAUACCGGAUAGGAGCCAUUUUUAGUGGGAUGGUUGGAAAGUUUUUUCGGUGUAGGAUGAGCUCGCGGCCUAUCAGCGUGUUGGUGGGGUAAUGGCCUACCAAGGCGGCGACGGGUAGCCGGCCUGAGAGGGUGGACGGCCACAUUGGGACUGAGAUACGGCCCAGACUCCUACGGGAGGCAGCAGUGGGGAAUAUUGCACAAUGGGCGCAAGCCUGAUGCAGCGACGCCGCGUGGGGGAUGACGGCCUUCGGGUUGUAAACUCCUUUCGCUAGGGACGAAGCUUUUGUGACGGUACCUAGAUAAGAAGCACCGGCUAACUACGUG
rnacentral:rRNA from 1 species